CCUGUCCCAGAAAGUCAGGAAGCGCACAGCAGUCCGUGCCCUGCUCGGAACAGAGACAGGGUCCGGGGGGAGGAGAGCAAACGCCGGGCAACGGAGCACCCCCCCCCCCCCGCGCAAGGGGAUCACUCAGGCAGUGUGGGAGCCAUUACCCCGAGGGCAAGUAGGAAGUGAAGAGCCUGUGCUGCACUGUCAUUAAAAAUGAGCCGUAAUGAUCCCGCUGUACCUGUGAAGAGGGUUACCAUGCAGCGACUGACGUAUCAUCCGGGAUGGGGAAAGCAGCUCGCCGCCGGAACGCCACAUCCUGCCGGACCGGGCUGGACACUGACACGACGUGGCUGCGAAGCCACAGGCAGGAAGUCAGUGCUGGUUUGGACGGAGCUCAGGAAGCAGGGAGUGUUUAGCCCAGGCUUCCUGCACCCGCAACUGGGCCUCACACGCCACGUUUCCAACCACUCCUCGUUUUCCGCCAGAGUGAAACCUGCAGCGGUCUUUACCUCGACUGUGCUCCUCCUAGGUGCACUGUUACGUCGACUGUGCUCCUCCUAGGUGCACUGUUACGUCGACUGUGCUCCUCCUAGGUGCACUGUUUCAGAGACUGUGCUCCUCCUAGGUGCAGUGUUACAGAGACUGUGCUCCUCCUAGGUGCACUGUUACAGAGACUGUGCUCCUCCUAGGUGCACUGUUACAGAGACUGUGCAACCAAAGGCUAGUGCCCAACACUUUUUUACUGCCUCAGGUUUAGCUCACUAGGGCAGUUCAGAGGAUCCCAUGAGACCUGUUAUGUCAUGCUCUGUUUUAUAUUAGAGGCCUUUGUGGGUAAAUACAUGCUUUCUACAAGUUACUGUAAUCAUGUAAUUGAGAUUAUUUAAGUCGGUGGUUGUUGUGAUACUUUGUGGGGGGAAAUGGUAACUGUAAUUAAACAAAACCAUGCAACUGGUGGUCUAAUGCUUGGGGCAAAGGAAUAGACACUAGGUUCUAUUUCUUUUUGGCAUAGAUUGAAAUACGUGUUGUUAGCUGCAAAAUCCAUGAUAUUAUAUGAAACUGAAUCAGAGAUUGUGCCGGACAUCAGCUGCAGUACAGAGUGCUGAUUCACUAUUAUUAACAUUUU